AACAAUCUAACGCAUACGCCCUCCGUCCCAUUUUCCGUUUUAUUUAAAAAAUUUUAAAAACGUAAGUCACGAGUAUAGCACUAUUUAUGUUUUAUCAUCUUAUAACAACAAAGAUAUUAAUUAUAAAAAAAUUUCAAAUAAAACGGACGAUCAAAGUUGGACGCGGAAACUCAUGGUUGCACUCAAA
rfam:Oryza rufipogon genomic scaffold, chr07